rnacentral:ncRNA from 1 species
CCUCGGAAGACGACGAACUCCGCUCCGCCCGACCCCAGGGCUCGGACUCGGGCUCAGAGCACUCUGCUGGGCCGACACUGACACUGAGAGACGAAAGCUAGGGGAGCAAAUGGGAUUAGAGACCCCAGUAGUCCUAGCCGUAAACGAUGGAUACUAGGUGCUGUGCGACUCGACCCGUGCAGUGCUGUAGCUAACGCGUUAAGUAUCCCGCCUGGGGAGUACGUUCGCAAGAAUGAAACUCAAAGGAAUUAACGGGGGCCCGCACAAGCGGUGGAGCAUGUGGUUUAAUUCGAUGCAAAGCGAAGAACCUUCCCCGGAAGACGGCGAACUCCGCUCCGCCCGACCCCAGGGCUCGGACUCGGGCUCAGCCCCGGAAGACGGCGAACUCCGCUCCGCCCGACCCCAGGGCUCGGACUCAGCCCUGGCCUCAGCCGACGGUCUCUGCCUCGCCCGACCCGGGGGCUCGGACUCGACCUCGGCCUCG